rfam:Catabacter hongkongensis strain HKT16 2806ref_2ab_c1, whole genome shotgun sequence.
UGAGCAGACCGGAUGGUUGCGCGCGUAAGCGUGAGGAAAGUCCGGGCUCCGCAGGGCAGAGCGCCGGGUAACACCCGGUGGAGGCGACUCCAAGGAAAGUGCAACAGAAAUAUACCGCAUCUUUUUAGAUGUAAGGGUGGAACGGCGAGGUAAGAGCUCACCGGCGUUAUGGCGACUUAACGCGCAAUGUAAACCCCGCUUGGUGCAAGAUUGGUAUAGGGACAUUUAAUGGCGGCCCGUCACGUCCUUUGUAAUCGCAUGAGCCGUGCGGUAACGUACGGCCUAGAUAGAUGACCAUCAAAACAGAACCCGGCUUACAGGUCUGUCUCAAUAU